rnacentral:rRNA from 1 species
CCUACGGGAGGCAGCAGUAGGGAAUAUUGCUCAAUGGGGGAAACCCUGAAGCAGCAACGCCGCGUGGAGGAUGAAGGUCUUCGGAUUGUAAACCCCUUUUGUCAGAGAAGAAAAUGACGGUACCUAACGAAUAAGCACCGGCUAACUCCGUGCCAGCAGCCGCGGUAAUACGGAGGGUGCAAGCGUUACUCGGAAUUACUGGGGGUAAAGAGAGCGUAGGCGGGAUAGCAAGUCAGAUGUGAAAUCCUAUGGCUUAACCAUCGAACUGCAUUUGAAACUGGUAGUCUAGAGUGUGGGAGAGGUAGGUGGAAUUCUUGGUGUAGGGGUGAAAUGCGUAGAGAUCAAGAGGAAUACUCAUUGCGAAGGCGGCCUGCUGGAACAUAACUGACGCUGAUGCGCGAAAGCGUGGGGAGCAAACAGGAUUAGAUACCCGAGUAGUC